rnacentral:rRNA from 1 species
UACGUAGGGUGCAAGCGUUGUCCGGAAUUAUUGGGCGUAAAGAGCUCGUAGGCGGUCUGUCGCGUCUGCUGUGAAAACCUAGGGCUUAACUCUGGGCGUGCAGUGGGUACGGGCAGGCUAGAGUGCGGUAGGGGAGACUGGAAUUCCUGGUGUAGCGGUGGAAUGCGCAGAUAUCAGGAGGAACACCAAUGGCGAAGGCAGAUCUCUGGGCCGUAACUGACGCUGAGGCGCGAAAGCGUGGGGAGCAAACAGG